rnacentral:lncRNA from 1 species
GGACAUGUGUCUGAGGGGGCUGGAUUCGAUUCUGGGAGCUUUUUUAAAUGUUCUUUUAAAAUGACUUUGUUGAAAGGGAGGAAUCCCUUUGAAAAUUUUAUAAAAAUCUUGACUUUUAAUCUUCUAAAAUAUCAUUUUGUGACAGUCUAAGUCUUAAAGAGAAUGAUGUUUAUUUAUCAUUUAAAAAUCUUAAAACUAAGCAUGAGUUUAAGAGCUAAUGAAAAGAAAGCAUACCAAGAGGUAUAACUCUACUUCUGGAAGCAUCAUGGAUUCUGAUGAAUAUUCUUAGGCAUCCUUAAAAGUCCUAUUUGAAAUCUGUUUUACUAUUCAAAUUCAGGAUAAAAACGUGCUGUGGUUUGAUAUUCUUAGAAUUACUUGUGAUCUGGUAUAAUCAGAGGAGAAAGCGCUGCCUAAAAGAUGUUUGAGGUCCAAGCAAAUGUCCAUGAAACGCAAUCCUGGAAAGUUCCCUGGCUUCUGCUCCUGGCAUGGUAAUUACAAGGGAGAGCUUACCCAUGAAAAUAAGUAAUGAUUCUGGUUUUGCCCAUUUUCCCAUAGUGUCAGUAUUUUGAGCCAAAUAGCAUUUGACAUGGGAGGCUGUAGUGGUGGGAGCAACUGAAAAUUGUUUCUCAAUCCUCUAGUGCGUAUAGCUUUCAAUAAAAAUAAUUUUAAACACUCAAAUCUGUACAAUGUAUUAGUAACAGUUUCAAUGAUUUUAGAAUGUUACUUAGGCAUUUUGAUGCAUUUUUUACACUUUUGAGCCUCAGUGCAAACCCCUGAGAUUUAAUGCAUAUAAUGUGUUUAAAAUAAAUAAAUAGUAUCUCAGAGCAAUGAAUUUGACUAACACUGAUACAUGUAGUAAGUGGUAGAACUGUAGCACAGCUAAGAUCUUCAGAUAUUCCAGACUAAUGUGUCUACAAUAGAUGUUUUCUAAGUAAAUAAUUUUCCACCAUUGCUUUCAAUGCUUCUUUACAUCCAUCAUUCAGAUUUCCAUCAUUUAGAAGGUGCCUCCUUGAAAAAAUAUUUACCUAAGAUUCCAUAGCAUGAGUUGGUUAGGACUGAGGGAGAAUAUGAAAUUAAAAAUUUAGGGGUUUUGCUCUCAGACAGAGGCUUAUCAGGUUGGACACAUUUCAAGGGGGAGAAAAGACCAAAUGUUUUGGCACCAGGAUGGAUUUUACGAAAUGACACUUACGAAAUUUUACUUCUUGGCUUCUCUGCUUUGUGAUUCUCAGCAUUUUUAAAUGUUGGUAUUAUUUUCUCUCCUUGAAAGUCACAACUGGAAUAAUAAUAUUUCAGAAUACUGCACCAAAAUGUGUCUUGCCAUUCAAGACUCCAAAGCUUAAAGUUUUGGGUGAGUAUACAAGGCU